rnacentral:rRNA from 1 species
AGAGUUUGAUCCUGGCUCAGGACGAACACUGGCGGCGUGCUUAAUACAUGCAAGUCGAACGAGGCUCAUCCGGUCGAAAGACCGGAGAAGGCUUAGUGGCGAACGGGUGAGUAACACGUGAGCAACCUGCCCCGAAGACCGGGAUAACAGUGGGAAACCGCUGCUAAUACCGGAUAUCCCCACCGAGCCUCCUGGCUUGGUGAGGAAAUGGAUUCCGCUUCGGGAGGGGCUCGCGGCCUAUCAGCUUGUUGGUGGGGUAACGGCCUACCAAGGCGUCGACGGGUAGCUGGUCUGAGAGGACGAUCAGCCACACUGGGACUGAGACACGGCCCAGACUCCUACGGGAGGCAGCAGUAGGGAAUCUUGCGCAAUGGGCGAAAGCCUGACGCAGCAACGCCGCGUGAGGGAUGAAGGCCUUCGGGUUGUAAACCUCUUUCAGCAGGGACGAUUGUGACGGUACCUGCAGAAGAAGCCCCGGCCAACUACGUGCCAGCAGCCGCGGUAAUACGUAGGGGGCGAGCGUUGUCCGGAAUCAUUGGGCGUAAAGAGCUCGUAGGCGGUUUGGUAAGUCGGGUGUGAAACCUCCAGGCUCAACCUGGUGAUGCCACUCGAUACUGCCCUGACUAGAGUCCGGUAGGGGUCCACGGAAUUCCUAGUGUAGCGGUGAAAUGCGCAGAUAUCAGGAGGAACACCGGUGGCGAAGGCGGUGGGCUGGGCCGGAACUGACGCUGAGGAGCGAAAGCGUGGGGAGCGAACAGGAUUAGAUACCCUGGUAGUCC